rnacentral:rRNA from 1 species
CUACGGGGCGCAGCAGUGAGGAGUUUUGCGCAAUGGGGGAAACCCUGACGCAGCAACGCCGCGUGAGCGAAGAAGGCCUUCGGGUCGUAAAGCUCUGUCAAGUGGGAAAAACGUUUUCCGGUGAAUAGCCGGGAGAUCUGAUGGUACCAUUGAAGGAAGCACCGGCUAACUCCGUGCCAGCAGCCGCGGUAAUACGGAGGGUGCAAGCGUUGUUCGGAAUUAUUGGGCGUAAAGAGCGUGUAGGCGGUUUAGUAAGUCAGAUGUGAAAGCCCCGGGCUCAACCUGGGAAGUGCAUUUGAAACUGCUUUACUGGAGUAUGGGAGAGGAGAGUGGAAUUCCUGGUGUAGAGGUGAAAUUCGUAGAUAUCAGGAGGAACAUCUGUGGCGAAGGCGACUCUCUGGACCAAUACUGACGCUGAGACGCGAAAGCGUGGGUAGCAAACAGGAUUAGAUACCCCUGUAGUC